rnacentral:rRNA from 1 species
GAUGAACGCUAGCGGCAGGCUUAACACAUGCAAGUCGAGGGGCAGCACGUCUUCGGAUGGUGGCGACCGGCGCACGGGUGCGUAACGCGUAUACAAUCUGCCUUGUACUGAGGAAUACCCCAGAGAAAUUUGGAAUAAUGCCUCAUAGUAUAUAUAUUUCGCAUGAGGUUUAUAUUAAAGGUUAUGGUACAAGAUGAGUAUGCGUCCUAUUAGCUAGAUGGAGUGGUAACGGCACACCAUGGCAACGAUAGGUAGGGGCCCUGAGAGGGGGAUCCCCCACACUGGUACUGAGACACGGACCAGACUCCUACGGGAGGCAGCAGUGAGGAAUAUUGGACAAUGGAGGCAACUCUGAUCCAGCCAUGCCGCGUGCAGGAAGACGGUCCUAUGGAUUGUAAACUGCUUUUGUACAGGAAGAAACACUCGGACGUGUCCGAGCUUGACGGUACUGUAAGAAUAAGGAUCGGCUAACUCCGUGCCAGCAGCCGCCGUAA